rnacentral:misc_RNA from 1 species
AACCCACUUUGUCUUCCAAAGUAGUUUAUGAUAGGCAUGGACGCAGUCCAGGUUUUUCUGAGCGGUCCCCACGUGACCGAGUCAGGUACUAUGAUCACAGGGAUCGGAGUCCAGUGCGACGCGAAAGAUCUCCGUAUGCUCGAGAAAGAUCCCCUUGUCGCCGUGAGAGAUCCCCUUAUGGACGUGAGAAAUCCCCGUAUGGACGUGAGAGGUCUCCAUAUGGACGUGAUAAAUCCCCAUAUGAUAGGAGCCGUCAUCAUGAUUAUAGGAGAAGCCCUACUCAUUCAGAGAGGUCCUCACAGGACCGGUUUCAUGAUCGCAGGGAUCGGACCCCAAACUUUCUGGAGCGUUCCCCACUUGAUCGGAAUAGAUCCAGUAAUUACAGGGAAGCAAUCCGUAAAGGUGGGUCAAGUGAGAAGCGGAACUCUCAGUUUGGUAAUAAAGGUCAUGAUGAUAAGCUCAGCCAGAAGGACUCUGGGGGAAGAGAUUCACAAUUCUUGGC